rnacentral:rRNA from 1 species
UUUAGUGGCGGACGGGUGAGUAACGCGUGGAUAACCUGCCGUAUACAGGGGGAUAACACUUAGAAAUAGGUGCUAAUACCGCAUAAGCGCACGGUUCCGCAUGGAACAGUGUGAAAAACUCCGGUGGUAUACGAUGGAUCCGCGUCUGAUUAGCCAGUUGGCGGGGUAACGGCCCACCAAAGCGACGAUCAGUAGCCGGCCUGAGAGGGUGAACGGCCACAUUGGGACUGAGACACGGCCCAAACUCCUACGGGAGGCAGCAG